rnacentral:tRNA from 1 species
GCGAGAGUGGCGGAAUUGGCAGACGCGCUGGACUUAGGAUCCAGUCCCGUAAGGGGUCGGGGUUCGAGUCCCCGCUCUCGCA